UUCUCUUCGGAGAUAUUUGAUAAAAUUGAAACGUUAUAGAAAAAAUCAGCAUGGCCCCUGCGCAAGAUGACACACACAAAUUGGGAAAAGGUUCAAUUUUUU